AUGGCGCGGUGCUCGCGCGCUUGGCUCACGCUGCUUCUUCUCGCAUGUUGUGCCCUCGUGCAGAGCUCCCACGGCUCGAGACCCCCUCCCCGGGAGCCGCAGAUGGCUGGGGUCCUAUCUCCGACGAUGGUUCACGGCGGCGCCGCCGAACUGCUCUACGACGACGGGGCGACGGAAGUCCCGGAGGAGAGUGCGACCGGUCAUCGUGGAGCAAACGAUGAUGAUGGUGGCGCGGUUGCAACUUCAGCGAUGGGUGGGGAUGGUGUUGUGUCGUCGGAGCAGAGGAAGGGUACAGGGGCGCCGGUGCUGCAGCAGGCACUGGGUUCGAAGCUGGCACGCCGGGUGCUGGGAGGGGAGGCGGAGGACUCGGCGGCCGGGCCGUCGUGCCGCUCCAACAACGCACACAUCACCUGUGCCCCGCCGGCGCAGCACUGA
rnacentral:rRNA from 1 species